rnacentral:rRNA from 1 species
CGAUUGACCUCGGAUCAGGUAGGGAUACCCGCUGAACUUAAGCAUAUCAAUAAGCGGAGGAAAAGAAACCAACAGGGAUUGCCUCAGUAACGGCGAGUGAAGCGGCAAAGCCUUCAAAUAAA